GUUGCUGUAGAGCGCGUAGCGAGGGUCGCCAUGAAGCCGGAGCCAGACGGUGUCGCCGAACUCCAGCUGCAGCAUCACGCUCUGACUCUGCACCUGAGGAGGGAAGCAGACUUUAUUAUCCGAGCCGUCGAGUCACAUCCAGCACCCCAACACUAACACACCCUCUGUGAUAAGAGCUGACACGAUACAAGACCUCUGACGUGACCUCAGCAGGAAACAUCCGCCCUGAAACAGGAUUCAGCCAUUAUUCCAACCACAGGCUGCUCCGUCCCACUGGAACUAUCUGAUCCGGUGUGAAUCUGAUGUUAAACGUGUCAAAUAAGAAUAAAAAUGUUAAACUUA